CUAAAAAUAAACAUCCUCUGUAUCUUAACGCUGCUCUGAAAAGCGAAUGAAUGCAUUUACCGAAGACGGAAUGCUUCGCUCGUUCCCUCAGAGAAGUCCCCUCAGAGAAGCCUCCUCAGAGAAGCCUCCUCAGAGAAGCCUCCUCAGAGAAGCCUCCUCAGGACAGUUGGGUUCCUGCGCAUCUGAACCGCGUGGGGAGGGAGGAGCGAACAGCGCUAUCUAAACAGGACUGCUGUGUGUGCCUCUCUCGCUCUCCCCAGAUACAUUACUCAGCGGUUUAUGCCGCCAUGUAUAGAUCCGCCAUGACGCGACCUUAAACAGCGCUCUCUGACCGACGUUGUUAGUCUUAAGCACUUUGUCAGAGGGUUUAAAGAAAUGUAUGUAUGUUUAUGUUACGGAGACAGGCCUAUCCUUUUUCUUUAUAUGGCUUUUUGGAGAAACCAGAUCUUCGGUCUCUGUCUGCUCAACAACACACAGAUGCACGCACAAACACACACACACAGACACACACACACAGACACACACACACACACACACACACACACACACUCGCGCACACACACACACGCGCUCUCGGACACACACAAAAAAUUUAAUAAGUCCAGUCUAUAAUGCCUAAAACUACAACUUAGGGUCCGAUGGAGUUCAAACGGCCAUUGAACACAACAAAUGUAUAAUGCAUUUUACGACGUCGAAGCUAACCAUAUCUCAUGCCAGGGAUUAGCGUACAUCAGACAUAAACACAAUUUGGCCCGGGGGGCUUUUGCCAACCUGGCGCCAAGGACCGGUGCUUGGAAGUCAUACGUAGCGAGAGAGAGAGAGAGUUGCUCAACUGCAAGGCGGAUGAUAGUCUAGAGGAGAUUUGGGGGGAACGUCGCAGAGAAAGUGAAGAAAAUCCCCGUCGACCGAGUGUGUGUGUGUGUGUGUCUGCCGUGUCAGUGUGUGGUCCCUGUGUGUUGUGUGCGUGAGUCGUCCUACCCGUCCCCUCCUUGCUGCCGUUCUGGUGGCUGCGCAGCUCGUCCGACUUGUAGAAGUCGAUGCUGGCGUACGUGUUGAGACUGGAGACGCCGCCGCCGCCGCUACCACCGGCCCCUGCUCCUCCCACUCCUCCUCCUGCUCCUCCUCCUGAUGCUGAUCCGAACCCCCCGCCGAGCAGGGCGAACAGGCGGGACGGGGCGGCCUGGAGCCCCGAGGGCCCGUCGGUGACCGGGUGAGGCGUCUCCUUGUUGGCCAGGUCCAAGUCUAUGUAGUUGAGGCCUUGCUCUCCGCACAAAGCCUGGGCGACGGGUGACGGCUGCUGCCCGGGGAGGUGGAACUGUGCGGGGGAGUCGGCCGCUCCGCCGUUGCUGUUCCCCCACAGCAUGCCCUCGAAGCCGAGGCGCCGCGCUACGGCCUGGGCGUGCUCCGGGAAGAGGGAGGCGGCGGACGCCAGGAACGUCUCCGAGCAGUGGCGGCGGCGGCCCUGGGGGUCCGCCCGGAUGACCUUGGCGCCGUGGUCGGGGUUGGCCAGGGGCUUGGCCGGGGGGAAGUCCAGCCCCAGGGGCAGCCCCGGGACGAGGGGGGCCGUGGGCCGGGCCGGGGGCGGGGCCUCGGGCGAGACGUUGGACGACGUGAUCCGGGUGGGGGCGGAGCCGUCACGGUUCAGGCUGAACGCCAUCUCGGUGUAGUCGCCGCAGGACGUGGGCGACUCCGACUCGCUCGGCGGCGGGACGCUCUCGCGGCUCUUCCUCCGGGCCGCCCCUCCUCCUCCUCCUCCCGUCGCCACGACGACCACCACCUGCUCAUGCUCCUCCUCCCGGCAGGGGCCCCCCGGCACGCGGCCGUGGAGCUUGGGCGCCUGGGCGGCCAGGGUGGGGGGGGUGGGGGGCGUGUGGAAGGAGGGGAAGCCCAGUGGCGUGAGGGAGAGCGGCGAGGGGCAGGGGAAGGGGCCCAGGUCCAUGUUGACGUACUCCGAGGCCCCCGGCGGGGGGCUGAGGGGCGCCGAGGGGCUGCGGGACAGCGGCAGGAAGCCGCAGGCGGGCCGCAGUCUCCCGGGCUGCGGGGGGCCGCAGUAGCCCUGCCUCAGACCCCCGGCGCCGCCCUUGAACUCGAUGCUGACGUACUCCCCGGGGCUCUUGGGCUCCGGGGCCAGGGGGUUCUCCCGCACGCGGGGCAGCGUGUUGGCCUUGGACACGUCCACGAACAGGCUGACGGGCCGGCUGCGGGCGUGGCCCCCCUGCUUGGCCGGGGCCGCCCCGCCGCGGCGCUGCUGCAGGCCGCUGCCGCCGCCGCCGCCGCCGUUGACCUCCUUGGAGGGCGCCCCUUUGAGCUUGCCCCCCGGGGCGCUGUGGGGCCCCUUGGGGGUCCGCUCCUCGCCCUCCCCGCCCAGGCUCUCAUUGCUGGCCGAGCUGGAGGAGUAGGACGAGGACGAGAGCGAGAGGUGGCGUCCCGCCGCCGCCGCCGCUGCCGCCGGACCCCCGCCGCCCCCCGUCCCCCUGCUGCUGCCGCCCGCCCCCCUGUUGGGCCGGCGGCCGCGGGCCACGCCCUCCUCGAACAGCCCCUUGGAGGGGUUGUGUUUGUAGGAGCGCGGCAGGGAGUAGUACGAGUACACCAUCUUGGGCCCCGGCGUCUGAGGCCCCUGCUGGGCGGGGGCCCCGUGCUGGGGCUCCGCCUCCUGCGCUGGCGGGGGGCUGCCGUUGGCCGAGCGCGCGCUGAUGGGCGACAUGUUCAUGUAGUCGCUGCCGGCGCGGCUGUCGGCGCUGCCCGGCCAGGCCCGGCCCCCCCGCUGCUCGGGGGAGCAGCUGCCGUGCGGCGACAUCAUCAUGUAGCCGUCGGCGGCACGCGGCGGCGGCGCGCGGAUGGGCUGCGGCGGGGACACGCUGUUGUUGGGCGUCAUGGCCAUGUAGUCGUCGGCGGGGCCCCUGGCCGACAGCUCGCCGCCGUCGGGGAAGGAGGCGGCCAGCGGGGGGCCCCCCGGCGGCUGGGAGCCGCCGCCCGGCAGCAUGGACAUGUAGCCGUUGUCCACGCCGGGUGGCGGGUGGGGCGACGCCGGCGUGGCCACGCCCCCCCCCCCGCCCCGGUAGAGCUCCGCCCCCCCGGCCACGUCCAGGUAGCCGCCGCCGGCUGAGGAGCCGCUGACCACGCCCGAGUCGCGCUGCGUGCAGGACGAGGACGCCGACGAGGCGAACGACUCGCGGCUGGUGCUGCGCGACAUCACCGCGUAGUCCGCACAGUCCUCCUCGGGCCCCGGGCCCGGGGCGGGCGCGGAGGGGCCCUCGCCGCGGCGCUGCCCCCCCCGGGGGGCCAGCCGCUCCAGGGCCAUGGGGGGCAGCGAGGCCCGCUUGCUGAGCAGCUGGCGCUCCGCCUCGCUCUCGCGGCUGGACGAGCGCCGCAGCACCCUCUUGGCCCCGGGCGGGGCCCCUGGGGAGCCCACGCCCCCGUCCUGGGACGCCAGGGAGCUGGCCGCCGAGCUGCAGUCCGUGGCCCCGCCCCCCCCGCCUCCGCCGCCGCUGCGGGCGCCGCACUGGCCCAUCAGGAUGUAGUUGGCCCCGGCGUCGUCCAGGGACCCGGGGCCCGGGCCGGGGGACGGCAGCGGGCCCUGCUCCCCGGGGGAGGAGCCGUACUCGUCCGAGGAGCCGUAGUCGCUGGGGGAGCCCGACACCGAGGCGUGGUGGGAGGGGGGCCCGCGGCCGUAGGGGCCCGCCGCGGCAGCUUGCCCCGGCGCCGGGGCCCCCGCCCCGCCGAACUCGGAGCCGUGGCCGGAGCUGGAGGACAGGCUGGGGGCCGGCGAGGGGGCCGGCGUGGAGAUGGAGCGCAUCAGGCCCAGGGGGGCCUUGGCGGCGGGGCCCGAGGACGAGCGCGCCGACUUGGAGCGCAGGACGGGGGUCCCGGAGCAGGAGCCGUUGGUGGCCGGGCUGGAGCCGGGGGGCCCCUGGGGGCCCAAGCAGCCGGCGGGCGCCCCCUCCUCGCCCUUGGCGGCGUCGCUGGCGGUGCGGGGCCGCGGGAGGCCGUGGCGGGGGGUGGGCGAGGCGUUGGCGCUGCCGGCCCCCCCGCCCCUCCCCGCCGAUGGGGGGCUCGGUGCGCGAGCGGCGGGUGAAGCCCACCUGGCUGGGGGGCGGGUUGGGGUGGUGGCGGCGGGACGGCACGCUGAUGGGGUUGGAGGCCGUGGCCCCGCCCCCCGGCCCCGAGCUGGACUGUGAUUUGCUGCGCUGACGGAACUCGUCGCUCAGCGCCUUCAUGGCCUCCAGGAGGGACUCGUGCAUGUUCUGGGCCACCACCGAGUCGUCCACCUGCACACACACACACACACACACACACACACACACACACACACACACACACACACACACACACACACACACACACACACACACACACACACACACACACACACACACACACUUUAAACAUAUGGUCUAUAUUUUUAAAAUACUCUAACUUCUACUGUAAUUUAUUCAUGUUGUUAUUUGCUUUUAUUAUAGUUAAUAACAACAUUCAAUAUAACGCAUGUGUAAACUCAAAAAGUUAUUUU
ensembl:lncRNA